CCAGAGUGUUCCAUUCGGUGAUCAGCACAGAACACAGAGGACUCACCAUGAAGUUUGGGCUGAGCUGGGUUUUCCUUGUUGCUAUUUUAAGAGGUGUCCAGUGUGAGGUGCAGCUGGUGGAGUCUGGAGGAGGCUUGGUUCAGCCUGGGGGGUCCCUGAGACUCUCCUGUGCAGCCUCUGGAUUCACCUUCAGUAGCUAUGGCAUGAGCUGGGUCCGCCAGACUCCAGGGAAGGGGCUGGAGUGGGUGGCAGUUAUAUGGUAUGAUGGAAGUAAGAAAUACUACGCAGACUCUGUGAAGGACCGAUUCACCAUCUCCAGAGACAAUUCCAAGAACAUGCUAUAUCUUCAAAUGAACAACCUGAAAUUGGAGGACACGGCCGUGUAUUACUGUGGGAGAGACACAGUGAGGGGAAGUCAGUGUGAGCCCAGACACAAACCUCCCUGCAAGAACGUGGGGGGAAAUCAGCUGCAGGGGCUGCUCAGGACCCACUGA